rnacentral:lncRNA from 1 species
AGAGAAACUCAUGGAAGGCUUGGUCUCCCAGAUAUUUCCUGGGAGUGGUCAUGCAGACAGGGCCACCUGGUCAUGCAGACAGGGCCGCCUGCUCAUGUGACUGUCUUCCGUCUCGACCUCUAGCCUGCAGCCUUCAGAGAGGGCAGGCCAGAGGCAGAGAAAGAAAGAGAGUCCCAAAUAGUUUCUGCACCCAGCACAUGAGUCUGAUGCGGGGUUCCAUUUUACAACCAUGAAUUAAUGACCUGAGAUGAAAUCAACAAUCAGACACUGAAAUGACUGAGCCACCCAGGUGCCCAAGGUGACUCCUUUUUGCAGUGAGAUCCUGUUGCUUGUAUCUUCUCGCUUGUCUCGCUGAAUAGCUUUGAUUUGCUUUAAGUAAACAUCUCCGGGGAAUGUCAUUCAAUUGCGUUGUUUCUGCAAAUAUCGUGCAGAGUUUUAUCUAUACACUGUUUCCUCCUCAAAACAGCUGAGCAGAUUGAAGUGUUGU